AUUGAACGCUGGCGGCAUGCCUUACACAUGCAAGUCGAACGGAUUCAAGAGGCUUGCUUCUUGAGUUAGUGGCGAACGGGUGAGUAAAGCAUCGGAACGUACCCAGUUGUGGGGGAUAACGUAGCGAAAGUUACGCUAAUACCGCAUACGCACUGAGGUGGAAAGCGGGGGACCGAAAGGCCUCGCGAAAUUGGAGCGGCCGAUGUCGGAUUAGCUAGUUGGUGAGGUAAAGGCUCACCAAGGCGACGAUCCGUAGCUGGUCUGAGGGGACGACCAGCCACAGUCGAACUGGGACGCGGUCCAGACUCCUACGGGAGGCAGCAGUGGGGAAUUUUGGACAAUGGGCGAAAGCCUGAUCCAGCCAUGCCGCGUGAGUGAAGAAGGCCUUCGGGUUGUAAAGCUCUUUCAGACGGAAAGAAAUCUUUCGGGUGAAUAUCCGGGAAGGAUGACGGUACCGUAAGAAGAAGCACCGGCUAACUACGUGCCAGCCGCCGCAGUAA
rnacentral:rRNA from 1 species